rfam:Pelomonas sp. Root1444 contig_19, whole genome shotgun sequence.
AUUUGGAUAGCUCAAACGGUAGAGCAACGAACCAGUAAUUCGUGUGUCGCGGGUUCGAUUCCCGCUCCAAAAC